rnacentral:tRNA from 1 species
AUUUAUAUAGUUUAACAAAAACCUCAUAUUUUCAAUAUGAAAUUAAAAAAUUAUUUUUAUAAAUU